GCUACCUGCAGUCGAGGGGUAACAGUUCACUUCGGUGAAGCUGACGACCGGCGCACGGGUGAGUAACGCGUAUGCAACCUUCCUUUUACAGGGGAAUAGCCCAGAGAAAUUUGGAUUAAUACCCCAUAGUUCCAUUAAAUCGCAUGGUUUUAUGGAUAAAGUUUCGGCGGUAAAAGAUGGGCAUGCGUGACAUUAGCUAGUUGGUAAGGUAACGGCUUACCAAGGCAACGAUGUCUAGGGGUUCUGAGAGGAUUAUCCCCCACACUGGUACUGAGACACGGACCAGACUCCUACGGGAGGCAGCAGUGAGGAAUAUUGGUCAAUGGGCGCAAGCCUGAACCAGCCAUCCCGCGUGCAGGAUGACAGCCCUAUGGGUUGUAAACUGCUUUUAUAUACCAAGAAACCCAUCUACGUGUAGAUGGCUGACGGUAGUAUAUGAAUAAGCAUCGGCUAACUCCGUGCCAGCAGCCGCGGUAAUACGGAGGAUGCAAGCGUUAUCCGGAUUCAUUGGGUUUAAAGGGUGCGUAGGCGGGCAAUUAAGUCAGUGGUGAAAUCCUGCGGCUCAACCGUAGAACUGCCAUUGAAACUGAUUGUCUUGAGUACACUGGAGGUAAGCGGAAUGUGUAGUGUAGCGGUGAAAUGCUUAGAUAUUACACAGAACACCGAUUGCGAAGGCAGCUUACUAUAGUGUCACUGACGCUGAUGCACGAAAAGCGUGGGGAGCGAACAGGAUUAGAUACCCUGGUAGUCCACGCCGUAAACGAUGAUAACUCGCUGUUGGCGAUACACAGUCAGCGGCUGAGCGAAAGCAUUAAGUUAUCCACCUGGGGAGUACGGUCGCAGAUUGAAACUCAAAGGAAUUGACGGGGGCCCGCACAAGCGGAGGAACAUGUGGUUUAAUUCGAUGAUACGCGAGGAACCUUACCUGGGCUUAAUGUGUUCGGAUCGGUCUGGAAACAGGCCUUCCCUUCGGGGCUGAUACAAGGUGCUGCAUGGUUGUCGUCAGCUCGUGCCGUGAAGGUGUCGGGGUAGUCCCAUACGAGCGCAACCCUUAUCGUUAGUUGCUAACAGGUAUGCUGGAGGACUCUGA
rnacentral:rRNA from 1 species